CCUACGGGAGGCAGCAGUGAGGAAUAUUGGUCAAUGGGCGCGAGCCUGAACCAGCCAAGUAGCGUGAAGGAUGACUGCCCUACGGGUUGUAAACUUCUUUUAUAAAGGAAUAAAGUGAGGCACGUGUGCCUUUUUGUAUGUACUUUAUGAAUAAGGAUCGGCUAACUCCGUGCCAUCAGCCGCGGUAAUACGGAGGAUCCGAGCGUUAUCCGGAUUUAUUGGGUUUAAAGGGAGCGUAGAUGGGUUGUUAAGUCAGUUGUGAAAGUUUGCGGCUCAACCGUAAAAUUGCAAUUGAUACUGGCAGUCUUGAGUACAGUUGAGGUAGGCGGAAUUCGUGGUGUAGCGGUGAAAUGCUUAGAUAUCACGAAGAACUCCGAUUGCGAAGGCAGCUUACUAAACUGCAACUGACAUUGAUGCUCGAAAGUGUGGGUAUCAAACAGGAUUAGAUACCCCUGUAGUC
rnacentral:rRNA from 1 species